GGAGUCAGGACCCAGUGCUCCUCUGUUGAACUCAAAAGCAGAACCUUGUUGUUGACUUCAACAGGAACAAGCCUGAGCCCUGAUUUUUC
rnacentral:miRNA from 12 species